rnacentral:rRNA from 1 species
GAUGAACGCUGGCGGCGUGCUUAACACAUGCAAGUCGAACGAUGAAGCCCAGCUUGCUGGGUGGAUUAGUGGCGAACGGGUGAGUAACACGUGAGUAACCUGCCCUUGACUCUGGGAUAAGCCUGGGAAACUGGGUCUAAUACUGGAUAUGACUUCUCAUCGCAUGGUGGGGGGUGGAAAGAUGUAUUGGUCUUGGAUGGACUCGCGGCCUAUCAGCUUGUUGGUGAGGUAAUGGCUCACCAAGGCGACGACGGGUAGCCGGCCUGAGAGGGUGACCGGCCACACUGGGACUGAGACACGGCCCAGACUCCUACGGGAGGCAGCAGUGGGGAAUAUUGCACAAUGGGCGCAAGCCUGAUGCAGCGACGCCGCGUGAGGGAUGACGGCCUUCGGGUUGUAAACCUCUUUCAGUAGGGAAGAAGCGAGAGUGACGGUACCUGCAGAAGAAGCGCCGGCUAACUACGUG